UACGUAGGUGGCGAGCGUUGUCCGGAUUUACUGGGCGUAAAGGGAGCGUAGUCGGACUUUUAAGUGAGAUGUGAAAUACCCGGGCUCAACUUGGGUGCUGCAUUUCAAACUGGAAGUCUAGAGUGCAGGAGAGGAGAAUGGAAUUCCUAGUGUAGCGGUGAAAUGCGUAGAGAUUAGGAAGAACACCAGUGGCGAAGGCGAUUCUCUGGACUGUAACUGACGCUGAGGCUCGAGAGCGUGGGGAGCAAACAGGAUUAGAUA
rnacentral:rRNA from 1 species